AUGUCCAGAAAGGGCUAUUAUGCCCUGAACGUCAUGAUCGUGUGCAACGCACGGCUGCGCAUCCUUGUCGUGGACCCACGAUUCCCAGGUUCGUGCCACGACUCCUGGGUUUGGGAACACAACCCUUUGCGUUCACGCCUAGCUGCACAGCUGCAGCCUGGCGAAUAUCUGCUUGGAGACGCAGGGUAUCC